rnacentral:rRNA from 1 species
UACGGAGGGUGCAAGCGUUAUCCGGAUUUACUGGGUUUAAAGGGUGUGUAGGCGGGUCUUUAAGUCAGUGGUGAAAUCUCCGGGCUCAACCUGGAAACUGCCAUUGAUACUAUUGAUCUUGAAUUUUGUUGAGGUAGGCGGAAUAAGUCAUGUAGCGGUGAAAUGCAUAGAUAUGACUUAGAACUCCGAUUGCGAAGGCAGCUUACUAAGCAAAUAUUGACGCUGAGGCACGAAAGCGUGGGGAUCAAACAGG